UACGAAGGGGGCUAGCGUUACUCGGAUUGACUGGGCGUAAAGGGCGCGUAGGCGGUUCGUACAGUCAGACGUGAAAUUCCUGGGCUCAACCUGGGGGCUGCGUUUGAUACGUGCGGACUUGAGUGCGGAAGAGGGUCGUGGAAUUCCCAGUGUAGAGGUGAAAUUCGUAGAUAUUCGCAAGAACACCAGUGGCGAAGGCGGCUCACUGGCCCGAUACUGACGCUGAUGCACGAAAGCGUGGGGAGCGAACAGG
rnacentral:rRNA from 1 species